CACAAGCGCCGGUGUGUCACGUUGCUUCUGUCAGUUGGUUUUCUUUAAUAAAAAUCUUUUUUCAGCUGACUGUGUCCUCCUCACCCGGCUGGUACAGAUGUCGGCUCGUCCUGCAGAAGAGUUGGUGGAACAGUGGGAGAGCGAGCAGGCCCGCCUCAGGCAGCAGGUGGUGGAGGAGGACACUGAGGACUGGCAGAGGAGUCCACACUUCUCGGGCCUGCAGAGAGUCGGAGGAGUGGACCUCUCCUUCAUCAAAGGGGAUGAUGUGAACGCCUGCGCCCAGCUCGUGGUGCUCAGCUACCCCGACCUGGAGGUGCUGUAUGAGGACAGUCAGAUGGUGACGCUGACGGCCCCCUACAUAGCUGGCUUCCUGGCCUUCAGAGAAACCCCCUUCCUCCUGGAGGCUCUGCAGCGGCUGGAGAGGAACCAGCCCAAACUUGUGCCUCAGGUGGUGUUUGUGGAUGGGAAUGGUCUCUUCCACUACAGAGAAUUCGGCCUGGCGUGUCAUCUCGGAGUGCUGUCAGGGCUGCCGUGUGUGGGCGUGGCCAAGAACCUGCUGCAGGUGCAGGGUGUGUACAAGAAUGAGGAGCACCAAUCACAGAUAGAUGCUCUGCAGAAAGGAGGAGACAGCUUCCCACUCACAGCCGCCUCAGGCAAAGUGCUUGGAAAGGCAUUACGAAGCUCCGACAAGAGCACUAAGCCGGUGUACGUGUCUGUUGGCCACAAGAUCAGUGUGGACACAGCUCUACGCCUCACACACUCCUGCUGCCGCUACCGGGUCCCGGAGCCCAUCAGACAGGCUGACUGUCGCUCCAGAGAAUACCUUCGCACACACUUCCCAGCUGCAGAUCCAUGAUUCAAAGAAUGAGAAAUGAUCGACAUCAAUUCAAUCACAGAGGGUCUUCCUCAGGUAAAGGCUGCAAAUGAUCACAGCGCAGGAUCUCAAGAAGUCUGAGGAACUACAGAAUACCACAACAAUGUGUGUGUGUGUGUGUGUGUGUGUGUGUGUGUGUGUGAGAGAGAGAGAGAGAGAGAGAGAGGGUCUGUUUUCCACUUUCAUGUGCUUUUAAAAGUGCAGGUGUUUCAGUCUGGGGCAACACGCCAGAUGAACAGUAUCUGUUUAUGCACUGGACCCAUAUUCAAACAUGGAUAUGGGUCAGACUGGAUCUUUUUAUACACUGUUCUCAUUACAUUUUUGGGUCACUCAGCUUUUUACUCUGGGAGCCUCGU